UCGGGUGUGGCGCAGCGGUAGCGCAGUUGACUGUUAAUCAAUUGGUCGUAGGUUCGAAUCCUACCACCCGAGCCA
rnacentral:tRNA from 1 species